rnacentral:rRNA from 1 species
UACAGAGGGGGCAAGCGUUGUUCGGAAUUACUGGGCGUAAAGGGCGCGUAGGCGGCCUUCUAAGUCGAACGUGAAAUCCCCGGGCUCAACCCGGGAACUGCGUCCGAUACUGGAAGGCUUGAAUCCGGGAGAGGGAUGCGGAAUUCCAGGUGUAGCGGUGAAAUGCGUAGAUAUCUGGAGGAACACCUGUGGCGAAAGCGGCUCACUGGACCAUAACUGACGCUGAUGCACGAAAGCUAGGGGAGCAAACAGG